AAUAAUAUAGUUUAAAUAAAAUUUUAAAUUGCAAAUUUAAAGAUAGAUUAUUCUUAUUAUUU
rnacentral:tRNA from 6 species